GGCCUCGUGGCUCAGCUGGUAGAGCGUGCGCGUACAAAGCGUAGACGGCAUUCAUGUAUGGUUUCGAAUCCCACCGAGACUA
rnacentral:tRNA from 1 species